AACGAACGCUGGCGGCAGGCCUAACACAUGCAAGUCGAGCGAGGACUUCGGUCCUAGCGGCGGACGGGUGAGUAACGCGUGGGAACGUGCCCUUUGCUUCGGAAUAGCCCUGGGAAACUGGGCGUAAUACCGGAUGAGCCCUUUGGGGGAAAGAUUUAUCGGCGAAGGAUCGGGCCGCGUUGGAUUAGGUAGUUGGUGGGGUAAUAGCCUACCAAGCCGACGAUCCAUAGCUGGUUUGAGAGGAUGAUCAGCCACACUUGGACUGAGACACGGCCCAGACUCCUACGGGGUGGAGCGGUGGGGAGUCUUAGACAAUGGGGGAAACCCUGAUCUAGCCAUGCGGCGUGAGAGAUGAAGGCGUUAGGAUUGUAAAGCUCUUUCAGCUGGGAAGAUAGUGACGGUACCAGCAGAAGAAGCCCCGGCUAACUCCGUG
rnacentral:rRNA from 1 species